rfam:Nasonia vitripennis chromosome 5, whole genome shotgun sequence.
UGAAGCCAACGACUAAUAGAGCUUGGUGGUCUAUCCUUUCUUCUUCGCUUCGUUGGCAGAUUAAAAUUUGUAUUAAAAUCCUUCUGCUUAAGUUUUAACAUCAAUAUUUCUGCAGAGAGGAAACGUACAAGACAUUU